UACGUAGGCAGCAAGCGUUGUUCGGAAUUACUGGGCGUAAAGGGCUCGUAGGCGGCCAACUAAGUCAGACGUGAAAUCCCUCGGCUUAACCGGGGAACUGCAUCUGAUACUGGAGGGCUUGAGUGCGGGAGAGGGAUGUGGAAUUCCAGGUGUAGCGGUGAAAUGCGUAGAUAUCUGGAGGAACACCGGUGGCGAAGGCGGCAUCCUGGACCGACACUGACGCUGAGGCGCGAAAGCUAGGGUAGCAAACGGG
rnacentral:rRNA from 1 species